AACGAACGCUGGCGGCAUGCCUAACACAUGCAAGUCGAACGAGACCUUCGGGUCUAGUGGCGCACGGGUGCGUAACGCGUGGGAACCUGCCCUUAGGUUCGGAAUAACUCGCCGAAAGGGGUGCUAAUACCGGAUAAUGUCUUCGGACCAAAGAUUUAUCGCCUUUGGAUGGGCCCGAGUUGGAUUAGCUAGUUGGUAGGGUAAAAGCCUACCAAGGCGACGAUCCAUAGCUGGUCUGAGAGGAUGAUCAGCCACACUGGGACUGGGACACGGCCCAGACUCCUACGGGAGGCAGCAGUGGGGAAUAUUGGACGAUGGGCGAGAGCAUGAUCCAGCAAUGCCGCGUGAGUGAUGAAGGCCUGAGGGUUGUAAAGCUCUUUUACCCGGGAUGAUAAUGACGGUACCGGGAGAAUAAGCUCCGGCUAACUCCGUG
rnacentral:rRNA from 1 species